GACGAACGCUGGCGGCGUGCUUAACACAUGCAAGUCGAACGGAAAGGCCCUGCUUUUGUGGGGUGCUCGAGUGGCGAACGGGUGAGUAACACGUGAGUAACCUGCCCUUGACUUUGGGAUAACUUCAGGAAACUGGGGCUAAUACCGGAUAGGAGCUCCUGCUGCAUGUGGGGGGUUGGAAAGUUUCGGCGGUUGGGGCUGGACUCGCGGCUUAUCAGCUUGUUGGUGGGGUAGUGGCUUACCAAGGCUUUGACGGGUAGCCGGCCUGAGAGGGUGACCGGCCACAUUGGGACUGCGAUACGGCCCAGACUCCUACGGGAGGCAGCAGUGGGGAAUAUUGCACAAUGGGCGGAAGCCUGAUGCAGCAACGCCGCGUGCGGGAUGACGGCCUUCGGGUUGUAAACCGCUUUCGCCCGUGACGAAGCGUGAGUGACGGUAAUGGGUAAAGAAGCACCGGCUAACUACGUG
rnacentral:rRNA from 1 species